rnacentral:rRNA from 1 species
UACGGAGGGUGCAAGCGUUAAUCGGAAUUACUGGGCGUAAAGCGCACGCAGGUGGCUGAGUCAGUCGAUUGUGAAAGCCCUGGGCUUAACCUGGGAAUUGCAGUCGAUACUACUCAGCUAGAGUAUGGGAGAGGGUAGUGGAAUUCCCGGUGUAGCGGUGAAAUGCGUAGAUAUCGGGAGGAACAUCAGUGGCGAAAGCGGCUCUCUGGAACGGUACUGACGCUGAGACGCGAAAGCGUGGGGAGCGAACAGG